UCGAUGUAUAUGCAAUCUUUUUUUAAAUCGUGUAUUUAUCUGAUAGUGAAAUUCAGGUCCAAUAUGGACUAAAGGGUAAUCAAUCUUCAACGAACUCUACAGUGACAGUUCAAAAAAUUGAAAAGAGCGAUGUUCUGUCUUGAGGUUAAUCUUGAAAGGAAAGUUUUUCCAUGUGAAAAAAGACGUGAUGAAUAAGGAAAUAUCAAUGCUGAAUGUGUUAUUUACAAGAAAAUCCUUGACGAUACUCUGACUGCCACAACCGAUUUUUAAAAGCACCUAAAGGAUCUCCAAACUAGCACAAACCAUAGAAAACGAAAACUUGUUACAGUUAUGGAAAGUAGUGGAAAAAUGACAUAAUACAAUUAAACACUGAUCGUUGGAUUGUUGAUUUUAUCAUACAAACCGUGAGUUCCCAAGUUUUUCUUGAACACGAAGCAUCUACAAGUUUAAUUAAUGGUCAUUGGUAAGACAACAGUACAGUAAGCAGAUUAAAUGUUUAGGAACAAGCAAAAUGAAGGCUAUUAUUAGUAGAAAAACACUUGGUAUACGGACCAAUGAAAUUUAUUCAUCACAUACACAAGUCAUGAUAGGACAAAGUCAGUCGGACAAAUACAUAUGUACUUCGGCAGAUAUAGGUAGCAGCUCAAAAGGAGAUCAACAAUGAUUUAGGAAGACAGGUUGUCGCAUUAUCUUGUAGAUGGUCUGAAAGAAGUCACACAUAUCAUAAAAGUACUGAAUUGAUUAAUGAAAUCCGUAUUGAGUUUGUAGACAAGAACAAACGGAAAAUAAGGAAGACUGUUACGAACAAUGGAUCAAAUAUGAACUCAGUGAUGACGAUGAAGAUAAAGUAAAGUUGAAUUCCAUUUAUGAUAUUCUUGAAAGUAGUGAACGAGACUUCAAUUCGGAUUUAUCAGAUCACCAGCGUUGUGAUUGUCACACUUAAAACCUGAUAGCUGCUACAGACUCUAAAAAUUUCUUAGAAAACAACAAUUCUGAGUAUACAAGAUUGCAUCAUUCGGCAUUCGGGAAAUGUUCUGAAAUCUUGAAUUUUACAUCAAGAUCACCAAAGGCAGCAGAACCUUAUUUUGAAAUAACAGGAAAAUAUCAAAAAUCACCUUUCCCAACUCAUUGGAAUAGUACUUUUGAUUGUUUGGAGGAUCCUAAGCAGGUUAGGAGCAAACUCAACUCUAUGUAUGAUGCCUUAAAAUUGCCUAGGUUCGAAGAAAACAAAUCAGAGUUUCUGUCAUAUUUUCAAAAUAAAUACUUAAAAUCUUCCCAAUCGGUAUUU